CAGGUUUACCUGCAGAGCGGUUCUGCCGAAUUCAUUAACUGUAUCAGGAUGAACUCCAUCUUCUUCCAGCAUUCUUUUCACGGCAGUCACAUCUCCCUUCGCCGCAGCAGACGUCAAAUUAUUGCCAGAAUCCCCGUCGGCUCGAGCCAAAUGCAGGAAACACGGGGUGUUUUUCUGACGUGUGACCAGCUGGGAUGCCAAUCGCCUUCAGAGGAAUCGGCAGGGACUUUCCUGUAGUAUGAUUGCAGUGGGGUGACUGAAAACAACUAAAACUGGCUGAGAAGAACAGGAUGGAUGUCUGGAUCUACAGCAGAGCACAAUGUGUCCUGAUUCUGACCAAAUAUAAAAACACCAAACUAGUGCCUUGUGAUGCCAACCUAGACUCACACAGGCAAUUCUAAGUCAGUUUUGUUUUGAUAUUCGUUGAUCAAGUCGUAUGAGCAGUAACGCUCGGGGGCGGAUUGUGGGUGUAUGAAAAGACUCGUAAGUCUCCGUGUCCCUCCCCUUACUGGAAUUAAAUCUGGGGCUUUGGCCUGGAGGAGGUGGGCGUCAGGUGACCACAGAGUCACAUGGACGGCUGACCGGCACGGUCUAAGUCCAUCGUGAGUCUUUCAGUCCACGUGCUCGAUUGUAAAGCUAUCAUGCGGAUUAUUUCUCACCAAGUACUGUCGAGAAACACAUAAAUCAUACCACCAUUGUGACGCCAUCACCUGAAGUUCCCCGAGGCCCUAUUACUGACUGAAAAUUAAAUAAACUUUCAAAUUAAAAAUACUGGCCAAAAAGGAUAGUGUUACAGUAGAUCUUGGCUUGGCUUAUAAAAAUGUUCAGAAUAUGUAACUUGAGAAUAUGUCAUUUGAGAGAGAACAUUAUAUGCAUUCCGGGAAAUAGUAAAACAUUAAUCUAGCAUAUAUAGAUGUCACCUGGCCCAGAAUAAUGUCAAUGAUCCUCAUUGAAAGCCUACUGAUGACACAUUUGGAUCAAUCAGUAAACUUUACCUCUCUGUGCAAACAAUGACUGUGGGAAUCAGGCAGAGAUGAAACCCUCGAUGCUCCUCUUCUGAUCUAUCACUGCAGCCAGGGGCAAUAUGGUUGCCAAAAUACUUUCAACUGAUACUUUUCAAUUAAAAAGACUAUUUGAGUUAUACAUCUCAUUCAAGCUAAUAUUAAAAAACAAUCAUAAUGCAUUAUGUCUAUUAACUGAACACGUUCCUUUUGAGGUUUAUUGUAU